rnacentral:rRNA from 1 species
GUCGAGCGGUAGCACARGAGAGCUUGCUCUCUGGGUGACGAGCGGCGGACGGGUGAGUAAUGUCUGGGAAACUGCCUGAUGGAGGGGGAUAACUACUGGAAACGGUAGCUAAUACCGCAUAACGUCUUCGGACCAAAGUGGGGGACCUUCGGGCCUCACGCCAUCAGAUGUGCCCAGAUGGGAUUAGCUAGUAGGUGGGGUAAUGGCUCACCUAGGCGACGAUCCCUAGCUGGUCUGAGAGGAUGACCAGCCACACUGGAACUGAGACACGGUCCAGACUCCUACGGGAGGCAGCAGUGGGGAAUAUUGCACAAUGGGCGCAAGCCUGAUGCAGCCAUGCCGCGUGUGUGAAGAAGGCCUUCGGGUUGUAAAGCACUUUCAGCGAGGAGGAAGGGUUCAGUGUUAAUAGCACUGUWCAUUGACGUUACUCGCAGAAGAAGCACCGGCUAACUCCGUGCCAGCAGCCGCGGUAAUACGGAGGGUGCAAGCGUUAAUCGGAAUUACUGGGCGUAAAGCGCACGCAGGCGGUUUGUUAAGUCAGAUGUGAAAUCCCCGCGCUUAACGUG